rnacentral:rRNA from 1 species
CAAGGUUUCCUGUAGGUGAACCUGCGGAAGGAUCAUUACUGAACGAAAUGGGUGGCAAGGCUGUCGCUGGCUUAAAUGAGCAUGUGCACGUCUUUUUGUCGCUUACUUCAUUCUCUCUUCCACCUGUGCACUCUUUGUAGACACUUGGGAUGUGAGAGAGGGGUUGGCAUUGAUUUGUCGGACUUCUCUUGAUAUUGAAAAUCUGGGUGUUUAUGUAUUUUUUGACAUACACGGUUGAAUGUCUAUAGAAUGAAAUUAUAGGCUCUUGUCAGCCUUUAAAUGAUAAAAUACAACUUUCAACAACGGAUCUCUUGGCUCUCGCAUCGAUGAAGAACGCAGCGAAAUGCGAUAAGUAAUGUGAAUUGCAGAAUUCAAGUGAAUCAUCGAAUCUUUGAACGCAUCUUGCGCUCCUUGGUAUUCCGAGGAGCAUGCCUGUUUGAGUGUCAUUAAAUAUCUCAAAACUCUUGUGCUUUUGUUGGCAUAGGACUUUUGGACAUUGGGAGUUGCCGGCUGCUGGUAAAGUAGUGGGCUCUUCUGAAAAGCAUUAGUUGAGGAGCUUUGCACUCUUAUUGGUGUGAUAAACUAUCUAUGCCAAGAGAUGCUUCAUGAUCCUCUGCCGUCUAACUGUCUUUAUAAGACAAUAUGAUAAACUUGACCUCAAAUCAGGUAGGACUACCC